AAAAAAACAUAUAUAUCUUUACUUUUUCUCUUGAACACAGUUUCUAGGUACCCAUCUUCAGAGAGAAAUUUUAAAUGUUUGUACUUUACUGUACCUUGUUCAAGACUGAUUAUAAAUAUUUUCGUAUCUGAAUAACCUUAACUAAAACUACAGCAGAAAAUAAGAUAACUCAGAACUAAGAGAAAUUGCACACUGCUAUCAUUGUUUAUUUUGAACCUACUGUUUAAACACGGGAACAUGCUACACCGGUCAGUUUAGAGACAAAAGAUGUGCCCAAAAGAAGUUUGGAAGAUUCCAGUCCAUUCAAAACUUGGUUGAACUGGAAGCACGUAGUUUAGUCCAGUUUGUCAAGCUAACUGUGUAAGUGGGAGAUCUUUGAAUUAACUUCCACAUGGAUGUAAUGUUUAUUAGCUUACACAUAAUGAAGCAUCCUGAUUUGAAACCUGUGUGUAUAUUGAAAUCAGUCAUGGCAGUUUCUUUUCAUACUGCUAUUUACAGCACACAUAGCAUUGUGUUGGCCAGAUCUAUUCACCAUUCUUUCUCUUCUUCCAAACUCUAGGAUCCUUCAAUUUUAAGACUAGGUCAUCUUUGUGUUUCCAGGACCGAGUCUAGGGAACGACCCAUUGAGUGUGCCCAGUAAGGGUGGGAUGUGUGAAUCCAACAUGUGAAUCCUGCAGACACAAGGGCUGAAUAAAACCACAGCAGGAGGGCUGGAGGUAGCCAUCACCCAGGAGCCAGUUGGAGAAAAACCCUGCCCUUCACAAGAGACCAUCCAUAGGUGCAAAAUAACAGGCAUCUUCAGGAAGAGAAAGGACAUCUCCCCAGGCUGGGUGUUUGUACUUCCUGCUGGACGACCAUAUGUCCUGUUCUGCAUUGCAAAACACAAGACACUGCACGGUCCUAAACCCUCUUCACUUCUGCUAUAGUGACACUCCAGCGUUUUCAUGAGAAUGUUAUCUGGUCCGCAACACUCAUUAAACACUUUUAGCUUUACCUCCCACAAGCCCCUCUGUCACAUGAAUCAUCUAUUAAGCCACAGCACCUGCUGGGGUUUGGUGUGAAUGCUCAUGACUAAGUGUUCACAUAUGCUACAAAAUCUGCCUGCAAGACACUCCCAGGUGGCCAUUCUAUUUCACCCAGCUGAUUCCUGCAAGUCCUUCACAAAUGGGUCAACUAAGAUGCCCUCUUCUAGAAUGCAUUUCUUGACCUCCAGUCAGUUGAAAAUGCCCCUUCUCUGACCUUCGGAGCUUCUCAAAGUAUCUUUGUAGAUUGUUCAGGUAAGGCAUAGAUGAUUAUUUAGAACCUUGGUUUUGGAGACAGAGCAGAACUCAACUCCCGACUCUUUCACCUUGAAACUGGGUGACCUUCAUCCUGGUACCUUUUGUGUUUGUUAACUUUGUACAAAAUUGAGACAAUUACGCCUAUGUCUUUGGGAUAGUUUUAGAAUCAAAUGAGACUGUACAUGUCAAACAUAACUCAGUAUGGAUACACUCCUGGUAGGUAGGAAUUUAAAAUUUUAAUAUACCUUUAUUUCUGCUGUUUUGUUUUUUAUUGAGAUAGAGGGUAUCAUUCUGUACUACAGUUUUAAAUUAAUGUCUUUGACAUUAAACUUGAGGGUGAAGAUAAUGUCCUAUUUCAUUUUAUAUCCAAAUGUUGAGUUCACUUCACAUGUUAACAGGCACUCAAUAAGCUUCUGCUGAUUUAAUAAACACAUUAAAAUAACAAUGCUAAGCAUGAAUUUAGCCUUCUUCAUCUCUUUUUCUAAUAUAUGUUUUUAUAUCUUUAGUGACAAAAAGUAUUCACCGUCUCUGUAUGUAUAACAAAGGAGGAAGAGAAAAAACAGACACACUUUCAAAUAAUUUACAAUUCACUAGAGAAAGAAUAAAAAGCUAGAUAAAUAAUAAAAAGCUCCUGACAAACUGAUCAUUUUAUAAAAGCAGGGGAGAAGAAAGCAGGAACAUCUAAGGAAAUCUCUCAACCACUGGCAUUUUAGGAAAGUAAAAGUAUUUAUUUCAUAAGAUCCCCUUUCCAGAUAGAUAGAAGACCCUCAGAAGAAUGAAACACAUCAGCUUUUAAGUUUUAUCUAUUUAUUGAUCUUUUCCUUACAAAUACGGCUUAUUCUAGUGUGUGUGUGUGUGUGUGUAUGGUUGAAUGUGUUUAGGGUUAGAAUGUACUAUUUUGAAUAAACGACAUGAUAAAAAUUUGUUAUCUUCUAUUUGUUCUUUUUUUUUUAAUUCUAGGUUUGCUAAACUCAAGGUCACCAGGCAAGAUGUAUCAUUUACCCUCUUUAGAAAUAAAAACCUUCUUGUAAUGGGUUAGCUUUAGGCAUAAAUGAGCCAAUUAAAAUGAACUCUGUCAUGGAUGUUGCUACUUCAAUGAAGAGGAACCAAUGAACAGGAGGUCCUGGCUUCUAAUUUCUCAUGCGGGACAGACAUUUCUACGAGGGAACUGUGCCCUGGUUACAGGCUGGGGCUUCUUUAGUCUGCAUACUGCCCAUUUGGGUGAUAUUUUGACUGAAUUGGCUUGCUGGCUUUUCCUUCAGUUGGGAGCUAAUAGUGGAGUUACAGGCCUGCUUCAGUUUUCAGCCACAUAUAUCUUGAGAUCAGCUUCCAGGACAUCAAGAGAAUCCUGGCGUGAUACCAAGUGUGAAGUUUAGUAAGAUGAAUUGUUGGUGCCCUUAGCUCAUUUUCCUCCUAAGAUUCUCCUAAUAAAUAUGUUCAGAAUUUAAGUCCAUGAAUGCUAUUAAAGAUUCAAUUUGCUGAUGUGACAGAAUUAGGAUUGGGGUGAAAUGUUUUCCUUGCCUAAUUUCUUUAGCUGGCUGAAAAACUAUAUGGAAAAAUGGCUGACAUUUUGGGUGAUAUUUCCACAUCUCCUCUGGUUUGUAUAAUGUGUUAUGCUUUGCAAAAAUAUUUUCUCUUGCUCUAGUUU
rnacentral:lncRNA from 1 species